GACGAACGCUGGCGGCGUGCUUAACACAUGCAAGUCGAACGGGAAGUAGUAAACAGUAGCCUCGGUGGAAGAUUACUAAUGAGAGUGGCGAACGGGUGAGUAACGCGUGAGCAACCUGCCUAUGACAGUGGGAUAGCCUCGGGAAACCGGGAUUACUACCGCAUAAAAUCGUAGAAACACAUGUUUUAACGGUCAAAGAUUUAUCGGUCAUAGAUGGGCUCGCGUCUGAUUAGCUAGUUGGUGAGAUAACCGCCCACCAAGGCGACGAUCAGUAGCCGGUCUGAGAGGAUGACCGGCCACAUUUGAGCUAAGACACAGUCCAAACUCCUACGGAAGGGAGCAGUGGGUAAUAUUGCAAAAUGGAGGAAGCCCUGAUGCAGCGACGCCGGGUGAACGAAGAAGGUAUUCGUAUCGUAAAGUUGUGUCCUAUGGGAAGAUAAUGACGGUACCAGAGAAGAAAGCUCCGGCUAAAUACGUG
rnacentral:rRNA from 1 species